rnacentral:misc_RNA from 1 species
GAUUUGCGUGAGGGAUAGUAGUGAAAAGCCCGGAAUCCCGAUGCAGCGCAGCGCAAACGGGAUGAGGACUUGUAGCGUAUAGCCCGACAGCAA